rnacentral:lncRNA from 1 species
GGUGGUAGAUCUUCUGGGUUACUAUUGUUAUCUUCGUCGAAUGGCAGAUUGUCUCGUGCUGGUAAUUGCUUGCAAUAGGUAGUUGGUUCUACAUUUGCUAUUGUUGAUGUUGCGAUCGAUGGUUCUUACGAAUUAUUCUUUUUGGAUCUGUGGCUGGCUUUAUAGGUGUUCUCCUACUACGAGUCAUACACUAACCCCAAAAAGAGAAUAAAAAAUGUAGUAAAAAUAAGAAAAUAAAAUUGUACCUAUAAUUUAGGAAUUUCCUACUUAUUCUAUUAAAAUGAAAAAAUUAAAAUUAAACCAGUGACGUUGCCUCCUCGGCAACGGCACCAACAACUUGA